GUAUAUACGAGUAUAUAUAUAUAUAUACCUAUGGCGUGUUGAUCGAAAUCCACUUUGCUCUAUCUAUAUAUACUAUAUGUACUCCCCGGUCGACGAUGUUGGCUGUCUAUUUGCUUGACUUGCUCCACUGCUUGCUCCUGUGUGUGUAUAUAGCCCAGUAUAUAAUGGCCUAACAAAGUUAGAAGAUGCCGGCUAUAUCCUAUACGUUGCUGCUUUUAUAGACACAAAACACACAGCCAGCCACGGCACGGACUGAAGCCAGCGACAAUAAGAGCGGAAAAAGCUCUUGAAUAGACACAUGAUUUUUGCAGGGCAGAUAGAACCCCCACUCCCUUUUUCUCUCUAUUAUGUAAGAGAGCUGGGCCUAGUUCUCCUGCUGGUGCAGCGCGGCCUCAACAUCCAUAGGCCCCCGGAAUUUGAUCGCAACGGCUGCGAAACAAUAGCGGAUAUUACGGUGAGUGCUGUAUAGUGGAUCGGAUUUGUCGAGUUGAUGCAAACAAGUGUAUACAACAGAGAGACCGGUGCUUUAUAGCUCAGACUUUCAUAUGAGCGAGGCGUGAAUCAGA